rnacentral:lncRNA from 1 species
AUCUGAUGUGCAUGUUACACUUACCGCACAGGUGUCUGAAGUCAGACUAGCCACAUUCCAAGCGCUCAAGAGCUGCAUGCAGGCCACGGCCCCUGCGUCGGAUGGGACAGCUCUAGACUCUGCACGCACCUCAAGUUCCUCAUCUGGUUCCCCUCUUCUUAGGUCUACCCAUCUGCAUAUUCAUUCUCUACCCGCAGAGCUGCAGUUAUCCCAGGGUCCUUAUUCUUUCCCCUGAGUUUGAGUUAUUAGAUAUAGAAUAGCAUUCAGGGACUGCCUCUGGGCUGCCAAUGGUGACCUUUGUCACUCCAAGUUCUAUAGAACAGAAAUUCUGGAGACUGAGAAGUCCAAAAUCAGGAUGCCAGCAGAGCACAACUGGAGGCACCUACAACUGGAAUAUACAACUAUGUACUGGGGGGCUUUGGGGAGAAGAAGAAGAAAAAAAGAAGAAGAUUGGCAACAGAUGUUAGCUCAGGUGCCAAUCAUUAAAAAAAAAAGAAUGCAGGGGCUGGCCCCGUGGCCGAGUGGUUAAGUUCGCUUGCUCUGCUUUGGCGGCCCAAGGUUUCACCGGUUCGAAUCCUGGGUACGGACAUGGCACCAUUCGUCAAUCCACACUGAGACAGCAUCCCACAUGCCACAACUAGAAGGACCCACAACUAAAAAUGCACAGCUAUGUACCAGGGGGCUUUGGGGAGAAAAAGGAAAAAAAAAUUUUUAAAAAAGAAAGGAUGUAGGCAGAUUCGGUGUCUACUGAGAGCUGGCUUCUUGAUUCAUAGAAUGCCAUCUUCUUGCUAUGUCCUCACACGGCAGAGGGAGCGAGGGAGCUCUCUGAGGUCUCUUUCAUGAGGGUUCCACCCUCAUGAGCUAAUCACCUCCCAAAGGCCCCUCCUCCAAAUACCAUCACAUUGGGGAUUAGGUUUCAACAUACGAAUUUGGGGGGGACACAGACAUUCAGUCUAUAGCGAUGUCCCAGGAGAAUGACCCAGCAAUCCAAGUUCUGAAGGGCAGCCAGAAUAUGUGUGUAUACUCCAAAUCUGGCUCCUUUUGCGAGUAACUAUUGGAUCUGGAUUCCCUCUUCUCUCUCUCUGUCUUGGUCUCUCUGUCUCCGUGCCUCUGUGUUUCUAUCUCUGUCUCUCUC